rnacentral:tRNA from 1 species
AUCUAAGUAGCUUAAAUUAGAGCAUAACAUUGAAGCUGUUAAGGUAAUUGUAUGAUUCUUAGGUG